GUUUUUUUCCAACAAAAAUAUUGCUCCGAAAUUAUUGGAGUAACAUCAUUUAUUUGGAUGAAAGUCUGAAACUCGUAUCCCUAGUUUUCUUCAUAUAUCAGUUUAUCACUACGUCUCGCUGCAGUUUAUGGGAUAUUAGAGUAGUAUUAAUACUAUUACAUAUAUAAGAUUAAAAAUUUAUUCAAAUUACACUCACGGAUGAUGUUCGUUGAUUUCACCUCUCAAA
rnacentral:lncRNA from 1 species